rnacentral:rRNA from 1 species
UGGGGAAUUUUGGACAAUGGGCGAAAGCCUGAUCCAGCAAUGCCGCGUGUGUGAAGAAGGCCUUCGGGUUGUAAAGCACUUUUGUCCGGAAAGAAAUCCUUGGCUCUAAUACAGUCGGGGGAUGACGGUACCGGAAGAAUAAGCACCGGCUAACUACGUGCCAGCAGCCGCGGUAAUACGUAGGGUGCAAGCGUUAAUCGGAAUUACUGGGCGUAAAGCGUGCGCAGGCGGUUUGCUAAGACCGAUGUGAAAUCCCCGGGCUCAACCUGGGAACUGCAUUGGUGACUGGCAGGCUAGAGUAUGGCAGAGGGGGGUAGAAUUCCACGUGUAGCAGUGAAAUGCGUAGAGAUGUGGAGGAAUACCGAUGGCGAAGGCAGCCCCCUGGGCCAAUACUGACGCUCAUGCACGAAAGCGUGGGGGAGCAAACAGGAUUAGAUACCCUGGUAGUCCACGCCCUAAACGAUGUCAACUAGUUGUUGGGGAUUCAUUUCCUUAGUAACGUAGCUAACGCGUGAAGUUGACCGCCUGGGGGAGUACGGUCGCAAGAUUAAAACUU